UACGAAGGGGCUAGCGUUGCUCGGAAUCACUGGGCGUAAAGGGUGCGUAGGCGGGUCUUUAAGUCAGGGGUGAAAUCCUGGAGCUCAACUCCAGAACUGCCUUUGAUACUGAAGAUCUUGAGUUCGGGAGAGGUGAGUGGAACUGCGAGUGUAGAGGUGAAAUUCGUAGAUAUUCGCAAGAACACCAGUGGCGAAGGCGGACUCACUGGCCCGGUACUGACGCUGAGGUGCGAAAGCGUGGGAGCAAACAGG
rnacentral:rRNA from 1 species